CCUACGGGUGGCAGCAGUGAGGAAUAUUGGUCAAUGGCCGGAAGGCUGAACCAGCCAAGUCGCGUGAGGGAAGACUGCCCUAUGGGUUGUAAACCUCUUUUAUAAGGGAAGAAUAAACGCUACGUGUAGUAUGAUGCCUGUACCUUAUGAAUAAGCAUCGGCUAAAUCCGUGCCAGCAGCCGCGGUAAUACGGAGGAUGCGGGCGUUAUCCGGAUUUAUUGGGUUUAAAGGGAGCGCAGGGGGGUUUUUAAGACAGGUGGGAAAGCGUCGGGACUAACCGCGGAAUUGCCAUUGAGACUGGAAGACUUGAGUUCAGGAGAGGUAGGCGGAAGUAGUGGAGUAGCGGUGAAAUGCUUAGAUAUAACGAAGAACUCCGAUAGCGAAGGCAGCCUGCUGGACUGCAACUGACGCUGAGGCACGAAAGCGUGGGUAGCAAACAGGAUUAGAUACCCUAGUAGUC
rnacentral:rRNA from 1 species